rnacentral:rRNA from 1 species
GAUGAGCGCUAGCGGCAGGCCUAAUACAUGCAAGUCGAACGGGAUCUGAGGGUAGCUUGCUACCCGAUUUGAGAGUGGCGCACGGGUGCGUAACGCGUGAGCAACCUACCCAUAUCAGGGGGAUAGCCCGAAGAAAUUCAGAUUAACACCGCAUAAUAAUACGCUAACACAUGUUAAUGUAUUUAAAUAUUUAUAGGAUAUGGAUGGGCUCGCGUGACAUUAGCUAGUCGUUAAGGUAACGGCUUACCAAGGCGACGAUUUCUAGGGGCUCUGGGAGUAGAAUCCCCCACACUGAGACUGAGACACGGACCAGACUCCUACGGGAGGCAGCAGUAAGGAAUAUUGGUCAAUGGGCGCAAGCCUGAACCAGCCAUGCCGCGUGCAGGAUGACUGCCCUAUGGGUUGUAAACUGCUUUUGUUAGGGAAUAAACCUACUUAUGUAUAAGUAGCUGAAUGUACCUAAAGAAUAAGGAUCGGCUAACUCCGUGCCAGCCGCCGCAGUAA